rnacentral:rRNA from 1 species
CUGAUGUCACACUGCCAAGAAAAGCUUCUAGUGAGAAAACAACUGCCCGUACCGUAAACCGACACAGGUAGUCGAGGAGAGUAUCCUAAGGUGAGCGAGCGAACUCUCGUUAAGGAACUCGGCAAAAUGACCCCGUAACUUCGGGAGAAGGGGUGCUGACUUCGGUCAGCCGCAGUGAAUAGGCCCAAGCGACUGUUUAUCAAAAACACAGGUCUCUGCAAAAUCGUAAGAUGAAGUAUAGGGGCUGACGCCUGCCCGGUGCUGGAAGGUUAAGAGGAUGGGUUAGCUUCGGCGAAGCUCAGAAUUGAAGCCCCAGUAAACGGCGGCCGUAACUAUAACGGUCCUAAGGUAGCGAAAUUCCUUGUCGGGUAAGUUCCGACCCGCACGAAAGGCGUAACGAUUUGGGCACUGUCUCAACGAGAGACUCGGUGAAAUUUUAGUACCUGUGAAGAUGCAGGUUACCCGCGACAGGACGGAAAGACCCCAUGGAGCUUUACUGUAGUUUGAUAUUGAGUGUUUGUACCACAUGUACAGGAUAGGUAGGAGCCGAUGAGACCGGAACGCUAGUUUCGGAGGAGGCGCUGGUGGGAUACUACCCUUGUGUUAUGA